CAUUUUUUUUAAUUGAGUUCUGUAGCAAGGGAAGGUAGAAGCUGCAAGAAUGAUUGGCAGGUCUUGAGACUUAGAAUCGUAUAUGAGCUGGUUGGGUCAGAGUUCCAAAGGGGCAGUUUUCCAACUGACUUAGUCUGGAGCUGAAAGUGAAGAAGGAAGAUGUGUAGCUGAGACUCCCUGAACAAACCACCUAUCAAGCAACUGGCCUUUGAGGAUCAACUGGCUGAGGGUGAAAGGAAAAUCACCAGUCUUCCUGGUGGACAGAUUGACUGGGGGAAAGACCUCUACCUUGCUGGACCAUCUGAGGACACCACAACUUGAAUUCCUGAUAUCUGCCCAACCACUGACUCUCUUGAAAAAAUACAAAUAUCACCUACAUAAGAAAAAACUCAGGAAGGAAAUAUAGUGAAGAAUGGCAUACAGCAAUCUGCAUUCAGACUCUAUCCGUUCCUUCUAUGGCGGUGGAUAUUUUUUUUUCUUCCUCAUGAGUCCCUUGGAGUUGUCCUGGAUUCUUGCACUGCUGAUGAUAGUUGUUAUUCUCAGAUGAAGAACCUGAGGCCCAAGGAAAUUAAGUAAUUUGCCUAAGAUCACAGAACUAUGAAGCAUCAGAGAUAAGACAUCAGCCCAGAGCUUCUGUGCCUAAGCUGAAAUAAAUGGGAAAACAUCCAGCCA
rnacentral:lncRNA from 1 species